rnacentral:lncRNA from 1 species
AUUAAUCCAAAAUAUGCUUUGUUCGUACAAAUCAUUAAUGAAACCAUCCAAUGUCAAACUUAGUCGAUAACACACGCACAACUGAAACACAUAAGGUAUCCGACACACACUAGCUAGCUUGAACACAUCAAAAUGUAAUGAACUAUGUCUAACACUUGUAGCAAAGGUUGGAUUGACGUUGACCGUCCCAUGACUUGUGCACUCC